GUCUGUGCCUGGCACGUCUUCAGGUCACGAGCUGCAGAAACAAAGCUGAACAAACUGAGACAAAACGAACGCGACGCAAAGCGACGGAGCAGAAAGUGAGAGACCGGGAGAAGAAGUUUGUCUCCGGGAGGAAACUUCUGGGUUUUCGCGCGGCAGCAGCGUAUGACGUCACACGCCAGAAAACAACAGCAACCUGCUGCGACUGUCGCGUGCGCGGCGGAAGUUGUAGUUUAACGUUAUUUUAUUUGAAAGUUUUCAUUUAACGUUAAUAUUAGUUUAUUAGUUUAUCGUUUCAUCGUGGACACAGUCGACAGGUCAACCACGUCCAGCUUCAGCGCUCCUCAUUAAAGGAACAGAAACUUGUUCGUUGUAGACACAGCGAGACGUGGUUGACCUGGUCCAGCAUCACAAAGAACCUGAACUCCCUAAGAAGAGGUCGAUCUUCAGGAAGAUCUUCAAACAGUAGGACUAAGGUUUUUUUUCUUGGGUGGCCGCCGUGCCCCCAGCUCGCUUGGCCGCCGUGCCCCCAGCUCGCUUGGCCGCUGUGCCUUAAAUGUUUUUAUUAUGGCGGCACAACCGCCUGUUCGCCAGCGCAUCCAUCUUAUCCUCUUUCUUAUUUUCUCUGAGAAAUGUGUAGCCGAUCUGAAGCCGAGAGUUAGAUAUGGACUUGAACUUUGUUGAGGGCUAGUAUGUGAUAGGAUAUGCAGUAUUGAUGUCUAAACUCGAUUCACCUCAGCAGUUCAUUUAAGUAAAUUAGGUCCUGUGGUCUGGUUUGUUUGAAAUGGCGGCAGUGCCAUGGCUUUCAAUUUGUCAAUGAUGAAAUGUUGAUGGCUGACAACUUUUCCUUUUUAGGCUUAUCAACGACGGGUGAGUCCAUAUUUAAAUUUUCUCUUUUGGAUGGCCGCCGUGUCGGCCUCCCCUCUGUUCUCUUCAGACUAGACUAGAUUUUAGGACAGGGGAAUAAAACCUUGAGAAUUGUGUGUCCACCUUUAUUAAAAUCAAAACUAAACUGUGUGUAGAGAUAAGGGUUGGGAAUAGCUGAGAACAGGGUUUCUGGGCACAAUGUUGGUAUGGAAAUGCAAGCAUCCUGCUUUCGACAAAAUUAAAAACAAACUGAGUUUCCACCCAAAUCAUUGCUCCAAUAAUCAGUAGUAAAUUCUCAAAUUUAAACCUUUACUCUAAUCUGCCUUACACAGUAUUUAUUGAAUCUGCCUUAAAUACUAAAUUUAUUCUUCCUUAAAAGUAUGUUUAUUAAUCUACCCUAAAAACAAGUGUUUCUUAAAAUCAAGACUGUAGAUCUUUUGACUUGAUCAGUAUGACUCGGUUUUCAUGAGGCUCGUAAUUUUCCCUCCGUCCAACAUGGCUGCUGCUCCAUCGUCCUGCAUUUUCAUUCCUGGUGCAUUUCCAAACAAUAGAUCCUUAGGAUCUACCCAACAGUAAGUGGUAUUUAUUCUUUAUGGGUUGUGGUUUUCCUUCCAUCUAGGCAUUUCUAUUUCUCAAUUUUCUCAACGAAGAGGACCACCCACCUGCUUGCGCGUCCGUUCAAAAUAGUAAUUUGCGCGUCCGUUUAAACAUUGCCCAUGGACCAACAAGUAAGUACCUCUCCAUUUCGCCUGGCCGCCAUGGCAACACCUUUUCCGCAGCCACCGUGCCAAUCUGUCCUCUUGUCAUGGCCGCCGUGUCAUGACUGUCUCUUCUCGGCCACAGUGCCGGUCUAUCAUCUAUCAUGGCAACAAAGCCAUCCGUCCGUUCAAAAUGCGUAUGUCCGUUAAUCAACUAAGUCAUAAAUUAGAACCAAUUUUAUGGUGUAAGAAAUAAAUCCCACGCAAUGGAAAUGGAGCAUUUAGCUUCUCUUUUUUUGUUAGCCUGCCAGCUGCAGGAAUGGGUGGAAGCGUCAGAGAUAUUCUUCCUUUUUUAGGGUUUCAAUGAGCAUUAAGAAGGAAAUUGACUUAUUCUAGUGUAUUGGUUGGUUUGGAACUGCUGAGGUAGUUAUUCUAGUGUAU